AACGCACAUUGCGCCCGCCAGUACUCUGGCGGGCAUGCCUGUCUGAGCGUCAUUUCAACCCUCGGGACCCCGUUCGCGGGACCCGGCGUUGGGGAUCAGCUCCUGUAAAAGGGAGCUGGCCCUGAAAUCUAGUGGCGGUCCGCCAGCGAUCUCCUCUGUGCAGUAGUUAAUACCUCGCAGCUGGAUAGCGGUCGGGCCACGCCGUAAAACCCCCCAAAUUUCUAAGGUUGACCUCAGAUCAGGUAGGAAUACCCGCUGAACUUAA
rnacentral:misc_RNA from 1 species